GUGGGGAAUAUUGGACAAUGGGCGCAAGCCUGAUCCAGCCAUGCCGCGUGAGUGAUGAAGGCCUUAGGGUUGUAAAGCUCUUUCGUCAGGGAAGAUAAUGACGGUACCUGAAGAAGAAGCCCCGGCUAACUUCGUGCCAGCAGCCGCGGUAAUACGAAGGGGGCUAGCGUUGCUCGGAAUCACUGGGCGUAAAGCGCACGUAGGCGGCUUUCUAAGUCAGGGGUGAAAUCCUGGAGCUCAACUCCAGAACUGCCUUUGAUACUGGAGAGCUUGAGUUCGGGAGAGGUGAGUGGAACUGCGAGUGUAGAGGUGAAAUUCGUAGAUAUUCGCAAGAACACCAGUGGCGAAGGCGGCUCACUGGCCCGAUACUGACGCUGAGGUGCGAAAGCGUGGGGAGCAAACGGGAUUAGAUACCCGAGUAGUCC
rnacentral:rRNA from 1 species